UCUCCGUUGGUGAACCAGCGGAGGGAUCAUUACCGAAGUUACCUUCAAAACCCACUGUGAACAUUACCUCUUGCCGCGUUGUCUCGGCGGGAGGCGGUGUGCGUCGCGCGCCCUAGCGGGCCGCGCCGCUCCCGUCCCCGCCGGCAGCGCCAAACUCUAAAUGCACAGCGGACUGUACGUUCUGAUUUACAAAAAAAACAAGUUAAAACUUUCAACAACGGAUCUCCUGGUUCUG
rnacentral:misc_RNA from 1 species